GGGCCCCUAGCUCAAUCGGCAGAGCAGCGUCCUGGCAGGACGAAGGCUCCGGGUUCGAGUCCCGGGGGUGUCCA
rfam:Halorientalis sp. IM1011, complete genome.